GAGUAAUGCGUUGGGUAUCUAGAUAUCUUAUCUAUGCACGUACCAAAACACGUUUUCGUCACUAUUAUAGUAUUUGUGCAGUAGUGGUUUGAAACGAACGUAUUUUUUUCUCGUGCCGAAAACCAUGUGUGACGAAAAACAUGAACAACGGAUAAACGUACAAUUUCUCGUUAAACUAAAAAAACUCCAACUGAGUAGUACUAUAAGUUGUUAAAAGAGGCCUAUAAUGAGGAUUUUCUAUCUCGGGCGCGUGUUUUUGAGUAGCAUAAAUUAUUUUCUGAAGGUCGAGAGUGCACCGGAAUCCAAUUCAGUCGUAAUCC